GAGCCAGUGGCACAACCGCCCAAGUUGAGGCCCCUUCUGUGUAGUCAAAGAAAGGCAGGCAUUUUGCCUCUGUAACUGUUUGGCCUUGGAGUUGGGUUAGCAUCACAAAAUUCAUAUCACUCCGUCUCUCACAAGUGGAAACAAGUGUAGAGUGCACCUGGGAAGGCACAUGAAAAUUUCUUUGAUUAUUGUCAGCUGAGUCCAAUGGCGUUGGUAGAGCCAUUCCUGGAAACAUACCAUGCCAGAGGCAGAUAUGUUGUCAAGCUGACCCUUAGCUUAGGUGCCAGGGACUGAGUUUCAUUAUCUAAGUUCAGCCAGGAGUGACGAUUACAAAGAAGCUACAAGAAUGAAGAAUUGCAGCUUGAUCUUUAACCAUGAUUUCACAUAAUUUCCUUUGUCUUAAACUCUAGUAAAACUUCCUAGAAUCAUACUGUAUAAAAUAAAUGUGCUGCACUGGCUCUGGGUCACUGUCUCUCCAUCAGAGGGCCAGCUGUCCCAUCUGGUCCCAGCUGUCCCUACU